UGAGACCUCAGGUCAGGCGGGGCUACCCGCUGAAUU
rnacentral:rRNA from 1 species